rnacentral:rRNA from 1 species
GGUCAAGUGAAGAAGCGCAUACGGUGGAUGCCUUGGCAGUCAGAGGCGAUGAAAGACGUGGUAGCCUGCGAUAAGCUUCGGGGAGUCGGCAAACAGACUUUGAUCCGGAGAUCUCUGAAUGGGGGAACCCACCUAGGAUAACCUAGGUAUCUUGUACUGAAUCCAUAGGUGCAAGAGGCGAACCAGGGGAACUGAAACAUCUAAGUACCCUGAGGAAAAGAAAUCAACCGAGAUUCCCUUAGUAGUGGCGAGCGAACGGGGACUAGCCCUUAAGCUUCAUUGAUUUUAGCGGAACGCUCUGGAAAGUGCGGCCAUAGUGGGUGAUAGCCCUGUACGCGAAAGGAUCUUUGAAGUGAAAUCGAGUAGGACGGAGCACGAGAAACUUUGUCUGAACAUGGGGGGACCAUCCUCCAAGGCUAAAUACUACUGACUGACCGAUAGUGAACCAGUACCGUGAG